ACGCUCGACACCUACGGGAGGCAGCAGUGGGGAAUAUUGGGCAAUGGGCGCAAGCCUGACCCAGCAACGCCGCGUGAAGGAAGAAGGCCCUCGGGUUGUAAACUUCUUUUGUCAGGGACGAAGCAAGUGACGGUACCUGACGAAUAAGCCACGGCUAACUACGUGCCAACAGCCGCGGUAAUCUGAGCGGGCUGGCAAGGC
rnacentral:rRNA from 1 species